UACGUAGGGUGCAAGCGUUAAUCGGAAUUACUGGGCGUAAAGCGUGCGCAGGCGGUUCGCUAAGACAGAUGUGAAAUCCCCGGGCUUAACCUGGGAACUGCAUUUGUGACUGGCGGGCUAGAGUAUGGCAGAGGGGGGUAGAAUUCCACGUGUAGCAGUGAAAUGCGUAGAGAUGUGGAGGAAUACCGAUGGCGAAGGCAGCCCCCCGGGCCAAUACUGACGCUCAUGCACGAAAGCGUGGGGAGCAAACAGG
rnacentral:rRNA from 1 species